ACCUGUUGCGGGCGGUAGCGAGUGGGCGCCCGCAACACCAGACAGAACACCGUGCCUCGGGAACAUCGUGGCACUUCAGGGCGUU
rfam:Streptomyces sp. CdTB01, complete genome.